UGGGGAAUCUUCCGCAAUGGACGAAAGUCUGACGGAGCAACGCCGCGUGUAUGAUGAAGGUCUUCGGAUUGUAAAGUACUGUCAUUGGGGAAGAACGGUUUUCUUGAGAAUAUUGAGAAGACAUGACGGUACCCAAGGAGGAAGCCCCGGCUAACUACGUGCCAGCAGCCGCGGUAAUACGUAGGGGGCAAGCGUUGUCCGGAAAUUAUUGGGCGUAAAGGGCGCGUAGGCGGGCCUUUAAGUCCGGUGUGAAAGAUCAGGGCUCAACCCUGAGAGUGCAUCGGAAACUGGAGGCCUUGAGGACAGGGAGAGGAAAGUGGAAUUCCACGUGUAGCGGUGAAAUGCGUAGAUAUGUGGAGGAACACCAGUGGCGAAGGCGACUUUCUGGACUGUAACUGACGCUGAGGCACGAAAGCGUGGGGGAGC
rnacentral:rRNA from 1 species